UGAAAAAGGCAAUGUGGCUCGAAAGGCCACCACGCAAAGCCACCGGUCUAAGGGUUUUUCCUAUGACAGCGGGGCUGCC
rnacentral:ncRNA from 1 species